rnacentral:rRNA from 1 species
GUCUAUGGCCACGCCACCCUUAACAUGCCUGAUCUCAUCUGACCUCGGAAGCUAAGCAGGGUCGGGCCUGGUUAGUACUUGGAUGGGAGACCACCUAGGAAGACAGGUGCUAUAGGUG